GAUGAACGCUGGCGGCGUGCCUAAUACAUGCAAGUCGAGCGAACAGACGCUGAGCUUGCGCCGCUGAUGUUAGCCGCGGACGGGUGAGUAACACGUGGAUAACCUCCCUAUAAGACUGGGAUAACUUCGGGAAACCGGAGCUAAUACCGGAUAACAUGUUGAACCGCAUGGUUCAACAGUGAGAGACGGUGUUGCUGUCACUUAUAGCUGGAUCCGCGCCGCAUUAGCUAGUUGGUGAGCUAACGGGUUACUACGGCAACGAUGCGUAGCCGACCUCAGGGGGUGAUCGGCCACACGGGAACGGAGACACGGACCAGGCGACUGCGGGAGGGCGCAGAAGGCAAUCUGCCGCAAUGGGCGAAAACCUUGCGGAGCAACGCCGAGUGAGUGAAGAAGGCCUCCGGAUCGUAAAACUGUGUUACGAGGGAAGAACAACUGUGUAAGUAACUAUGCACGUAUUGACGGUACCGAGUCAGAAAGCCACGGCUAACUACGUG
rnacentral:rRNA from 1 species